AUGAUUGAUAUUAACUUCAUGGUAAGUUUAGUUUGUCCAAAUAUGAUUGAGUUGCAACUCUGUUGGUUUGCUGAGCUGGUUAACAUCUUGUCUGAAGCAGAUUAACCUAGGAUGCUGUACAAGCCUGUUCAAACUUUAUAGUGCUUGAGCCUCUUAAUAUGGUCUAUGCUGGUGAACUUGAGCAGUGUGAUUAAGGUGGGUGGGUGAGUGGGUUGGAUAAGCUAGCUUGAAUCAUCUCAAACAGACUUUAUCCCUAAGGUAAAUUAUCUUUUGUGUUGAUGCUCUUAGGCCAUAUCUGCAGUUCUUUUAUCUUUUUUUUUUUUUUUUGAUAAGUUUUUUCUCCUUUAAUCAAUUUGAUAUUGAGAGCUACCCAUCCUUGGUGGAUGGGGGUAGUUCUUUUAUCUUGUAUGAAUAUUCUUUGUUCUUCGAAGUGUUAUGUGAAUAUGUGAACUUGUUGUUUGGUUUUUAGUUUUAAAUCUCUUUACUAUGAUCUUUGUAGAUGCUUAUGCUUACAGCUCCUUCUUUGUAUGUGGUGAAUUCUGUUUCUUACUGCUAACAUUUUGAAACACAAAUAUAGAUAAUGCUGCCUAAAUGUUCAGUAAAAAAUGUGAAUCAGCUAGAUGUCCCUUUUUGAAGCUCCCUUCAUUGUAAAACCAGUUUAAUUUUGUGUAAAAAAAACCUUGAUUCUCAAUAUAUAAGAUAUCAUUUUUCCCAUGAUAAUUUCUUUUUGAUUUGAAAACAGAAAAAAGAUAAGGAAAAAAAAAAAAAAAAAAAAAAAAAAACUAAAAAGGUGAUUAUUCAUAAUUUAAUAAUUAUUUGGAAUUUAUAACUAAAUGAAAAAUCUUUGGUAAACUGGAAACUAGGAUCAUCUACAUAAAGUAAAAGAGAGAAAAAAAAGAAAAAGAAAAAAAAAAGGAUGCUGUGGAAUGUAAAAAUUUAUUUAGAUUAAUGCCUGAAACAAACUAAUUAUCGAAGAUUCACUAUUCACCAUUCUUAUUGGAAGUCAUAUGCUGAUAUGCAAAGACAGUAGUGAAAUUAAUUACAUUUAAUUCUCCGUGUUUUCUUGUUUCUCGCCUUAUCUUGUAGCUUUGGACAUUCUCAAUAUCAUAAAAUAGAUAUCAGUUUGAGGAAAUAUCAUUUUGCUUAGGGGUCAUACACAGCUUAACUGCAUGAUGCUUUCAUGGGACUACAUUUUCACUAUGAAAACCACUAUUGCACCAUCUUUCUCCUGCAUUUUUGCACCAUUACCAAACACCACCCUCACCCACCAACACCCCACAGCUCAACUGCAUAUUCAGUCACCAUAACCCAUAACAGCCGUGUCUGGCUCUUCCCUAAUUCUCCAUCACCACACAUAUCACCAUUGCCCCUAACACUAGACUCCCAUGUCAGUGCCAUCUUCGUUGUCAUAGUACACCUUCUGAAAACAUUAUAUUUCAAAUUCAACAAAGGAAGACACAUAGAAAUUUGACUAGGAUUUGGAGUUUUGUGGUAUUCAUAUAUUCUUUUCUAAUGGUUGACUUGGAGGUUGAAUCUUGGAUUAAGGUAUGGGUCUUGAACAAAACCCAAAAUCAAUUGGUAGAAGAUCUCACUUUUUUUCAAAAUGUAGAUAUGGAUGUGUUGAAUGUUUGAUAGUGGGUUAUUGAGUGGUGAUGGGUUUUCUGAAUUAAGAAUUUGGUUAGUCAAAGGUGCUGGAUUAAAGCUGGACCUUGUCAAUUGUGCAAGACUGGGUGGUGUCGACAGCGAAGGUUAGUCUAACUGGUCUUAGGUAAAAACUUUGGUAACAGAGUAAAAAGGCUGAUGUGUUGAGUUUUUUAUUGGGCUAAUUUUUUGACAUUAUAAGAUUGAGGGUAAAGGAAUUGCUGGUUAGAUGGUCCUGCUUGGCAUUGUACUUUGUUAAAGUAGCAGGACAGCUUCUAGGUAAAAGCAUACACAGCCAUGUCAUUGUCUUAUUUACUAGAUAUUAUUUAUAUUCAUCUGUUUGCUUUAUGCUAUAUUCUUUUCUUCUUCUUUUUUUAUUUAUUAUUUUUUAAGUAUCAUAUUUUUUAUAAUAACAAUAAAUAAAAAUGAGGCAUAAACAAGGAUGAAAAAUAACUUAGCAAUAACUUAAUUCUCUAUUUCUGAUAGUGAAUAUGAGGAAAUGUGCAUGAUAGAAGAAUUCUAGGUCAAUAUCCAAUGUUCAGGCAUUGAAGAAUGCAAUUUAUCAUCCAUUUAUUGGAAUUAUUUUGUUUACAAUGACAGAACUUAUCUAUUUCUUGAUGAUUCUUUUGUCUCUUUAUUUUAUGGCUUAAUAAAUUCCAAAUCACCAAUAUAAACAAUCAAGAAAGAAACUAUUCACAUCCUGAAACACUAACAAACAAAGAAAAUGUAUAAUGUGUAAAUAAGUUCAAUUUCACCACUAGAAACAAUCAACAAAGAAACUAUUUUGUCACAGCCUGAAACACUAAUAAACAAAGAAAAUGUAUAACAUGUAAAUACGGUCCACCGGAUCCCAAUUCCAAAAACAUUAUAACAGUUGCAAUGAGAAGGUUAAAUUUCUUUUUGGCCCUUCCUUUAUAUAGUCAAUGUUUGCUUUCUGCUUUUUUUUUUCCUUUUUUUUUUGGUUAAAGAAAAAAUUUUAAUUUAAAUAAGUUACACAUGCACUUAGUGGGUCUUGAAUCCAAGACCUCAUCCUCCAUCUCAUUUUUAUGGGAGAAAGGAAGGUUCAGUUGAGCUAUAGCUCAUUCUCUCCUUUGUAUACUCCAUUUGUACUAGGGUUGUGCCCCUUUUUUGUUCUUUUUAAUGUGAUUAUUACUUAUUAGGGGGAAAAAAAAUCCCAACUAGAAGGGCUCUUCUAUGGACCACAAAACGUCAACAAUGAACGGUUCUAAACUGUGCUAUCACUAUUAAGAAAAAGAACAAACCUUAAAGCCUCGUGGAAUGAAUGACAGUCCUGUGUUAGUGCUAACUUUAUUAAAUCGACCAUUACCGAGAAAUUUUCUAAUCUUGAUAAAAUUGUACAUGACUAUGGGGCAAGAUGAUGAAAAUGGAUAAGGCAUGGGUGAUUAUUAGUCAUGAAGUUUAACAGAUUGGGUAAUUAUUCACAAAUAAAACAAACCAAAAAUAAGAAAUGAAGAUAGACAAAUAUUUUAACAUUGGAGACAUUUAAGAUUGACGAAUAAACCGUGGGCACAAGCUAGAAUGAGAAUGCAAUAUGUGGUAUAAAAUAAAGUUAUGUGUGUUUCAGAAGAGGGGUAAUUGUUCUCUUCUUCUUGAUUGUUCUCUCACUAAAGCUUAUCUCACCUUUCAAUGCUAGCCUGGAUUCCUCCUUUAUGCAGUUGUUAACCCUUUUGUAGGAAUGGCAGAUGGAAUAAGUAUGACCAUGUUAUCCUACAUUUGCAGAGGAUGUUGUUUUGUCAAACAAAAGAUAACCUGCCAAUGUUCCCUUGGCAUUCAUCAUGUGCUCUCCGGAUCCUCUUGCAAGUUCAUGCAUCCUAGUUGUUCACCCUUGGCAAUAGCAGCCAAACUUUCUGAGGAUCAAUGUCUGAAGUCCUGUUGCUCUAGGGUAGUGGGAGUGCACCCUGGGGUUACAGGUGUCAUUCCAUUUCCAGAUUUUCAGAUUUAGCAUGGGGAAUCAGUCAUGUGGACUUAUCCUCGACAAUGAAUGCCUCCGAGUCAUCGCAUGCAUUGAUUAUACUCUCAUUGCAUUAACUCAACUUUGUCUGAUCUUGAUGUCAAGUUAAUGGGUUUCAGAAGCUUAUAUAAUCUGCAUUUUAUCUUUGUGGUUAGGCUUAGUCUAAGCAUUAAUUCCCCCUAGGACACAUUCAUUAAUCUGCUCCUUUAACUGGGCCUGUGCCCAAUUUGCACGCUCAUUUCUCCCUCACACUGGUGUUUUGUUAGCACCUGGUUCACGUGCAUGCAUUUAUUGGUUAUUCAGUUCUCAAAUAAAUGCCAGCCACUCAAAAAAAAAAAAAAAAAAAAAAAAAAUAUUCAAGUAAUGUUUUAGAUAUGUAUCCAAGGUAAACUUUGUUUUUCUUUUACUUUCUGUUGCUUUUAUUUUUUGGUGGGGAAUCUCUUCCUGUACAGAGAACCAGUCAAAAACUCAACCAAAUUCUUGUGUGCCAUGUUGUAAUUAGUUUUGGUUGGGUGGGUUUAGAAGUUCCUAUAUCUGAUCUUUCAACUCUAAUCUCUUACAUACAAAAUAUCAAAAACCCAUUCUAUUUUGCUCUUAUACAGGUAAUGUUGCUAUGACUUUAAGAGCUUCUAAAGUGGCCUUUGGGACAAUAGUGGGUAUUUUUGUUAGUGUUGGUGGGUAUUUUUGUUAGUGUUGGUCAGAUUACAAGAGUUAUGCUGUAGGAUUAUGGAAAACUAAGAGUAUGUUUGGUAAUUUUUUUUUUCCCCUUAAUUUUAGUUUUCAAAAACAAUUUUCUAUUUUUGAAACUAAAAAACUUGUUUGGCAACUAAAAAUAGACUGAAAACAAAAACUGUUCUCAAAACUCAAUUUGUGAAGGAAAUUAAAAAUACGUAAAGGCUGUUUUUAGUUUCUAAUUUUCAAAAGUCAAAGAAAACAUGCAUUUGAUUUAAUGAAUCUGUCUCAUUUAAUGAGUUAGCAUUAGAAUUCAAAUCCUAAUAACAACAUAUUUUAGUAUUUUUUUCUUCAAAAAUCUUUUUUUUUUUUUUUUUUUAAUUUCAACUAACCAAACAUGUUUUUGAUUUCAAAAAUACAAGAAAAUUGUUUUUUCCUUAUAUUCUCAAAACAAGAUUUUGAAAAUAGAAAACAAAAAUUGUUACCAAACAUAACCUAAGGAAUUUCUGAAUCUUUUUUUUUUAAAACAAUGCAGAGUGUUGAGCUCCAAAAUCUGCUCUGGACAAUCACUUUACAAUUUACAAUGGCUGGAUUUUGGUACGUAUAAGAAACUGCCUGCAUGCAUCUGUAAACAUCACAUUUUCUUGCAUGGAAGGUUGGAAUAAACUGUUGGUUUGACUGAAAGUGUAAUUUCAUUUGUUUGGAGUGGAUGCAAGGAAGUGAAGGCAGAGGAAUUGUGUGGAGAGAUGCCAUAA
rnacentral:sRNA from 1 species